rnacentral:rRNA from 1 species
UACAGAGGUCUCAAGCGUUGUUCGGAUUCAUUGGGCGUAAAGGGUGCGUAGGCGGCGCGGUAAGUCGGGUGUGAAUCUCGGAGCUUAACUCCGAAACUGCAUUCGAUACUGCCGUGCUUGAGGACUGGAGAGGAGACUGGAAUUCAUGGUGUAGCAGUGAAAUGCGUAGAGAUCAUGAGGAAGACCAGUGGCGAAGGCGGGUCUCUGGACGAGUUC